AUUUAUGACGGAAGACAGAGGAGUAAAGGGAGGAUGAUUGACAGCGCUAAGCCCCUCCUCCUGGCUCUGAUAGGUUGUUUCUAGGUAGCAUUGGGAGAAGGCAGAGGAAAUGAGUUUUUCUCAGAUCAUCUCUCUCCUUAGGUUCAGCAAAUACGUAAAAAAAUAAUGACAAAAGUUAAAUUCUGCAGCUUUAAAGCAGAUCUUUCUA